GUGAGAGCUCAGAAAUUCCCAGACUGUUUUGAUGAUAAGGUCCAAGAACUUGCCAUGUGAUCCAUCACUACUAGACUCCCACAACUGCAUUAGAUUUGUUCAGGAUUUUCAUAUAAUUUUCAUAACUGGCUAAGGUCUGAAAUAACCCAUCUUGAAGACAUAAACAAUUCAUUUCUUACCCCAAGGAGUAGUAAACAUGAAUCCUGACCCACCAAUGCAGUCCCAGAACUGAGAAAAGAUUCACUGCAGCUAAACAGAUUGGAAAUGGAUGGGGAGAAGGCCUGAUGAAAAUUACUGAGGAAGCCUCUUAGCCUAUGUGCUCUGAGAGUAGUGACACCUAGCAGUCGUUGGCUGAUGUUUGGUGGGUGUAUCCUGGAGCAGUCUU
rnacentral:lncRNA from 1 species